AAAAAAAACCUAUUAUACCUACCAUUUACAAAAUAAAUUUCAACUGAGAUUCAAUGUCUAGAAGAACCAUGUAUUCUUGUGAACCGUAACCUUUAACUCAGCCUAUAUAACGUCUCAAUAAUUCUUGUAACUGCGGCAUCCACUAAAAAUCGUCAUAGAAAAAGUAAUUAUGCGUAACUAUUAUAUGGUGAUGCUAGCAAAGAAACCUGCCAGGUAAAGAUCACUGCUGAGUUUGAAGGUUAUUCCCGUGUUCAUUUGUCUGAGAAACCAGCAAGUAUUUUUUUUAUCUUUGUGCCACCCGAUGCACCAAAGACCGGCAGGGAUUUGUCAUCUUUUUUUUUUAUGCACCCGUUGCAUGGCACCAUAGCAGGUGACACGUAUUUCAAGAUAUUCUUUUACGUAUGAUGAAUAUAUACACUCAAAGAGUAUUAAACAGGAAUUCGCUUGUACUUGUUUUCAAAUAUGCUUAACUGUCCAUUUUUUUCUAUUCACUCGUAAAAUCAACAACGAUGCUAACCGAUGAUAGCCGAUCGUGUCUGGCGAAACAAAUUGAUGUCAGACUGGACGCACGAGACGCUUGUAAAUGAUAUAUAUAUAUAGAGAGAGAGAGCUACAGUGCGUUUAAAUAUUACGUAUACAUUGACUUACAAAGCAUUCGUCGCGGCUUUUUCAUCGAUACCAGAGACGCUGCACGUAUUUUUAACAGAGACACGUUUAUAUUCCCGAUAAGAAAACGCCUUCCGUGAAGUCCGUGCUAAUAAUGUGAUAAAUCGUGUUUUUCAGAUUGAAUAAAACAAAAGAAUGUCGGAUAUACUCGUACAUGUACGUGGAUGAAAAUACUAAGGAGCCUAUGAAUUGAGACGUAGAUGUAAAAUAGGUUAAGAAAACAUGAGAGGGCCGCUGAGAUUUCGUCAGGUUGUAAACAAACGUUCUCGGCCAUUUACGGAGACGAAGAUAUGACGCACCGAGCAGGGCGUGCACGCAGAUCGCUUCUCUGUGAGCGAACCUUGGCCCCAAGAGGUUCGCAGCAAGCAACGACUUCGUAACGUUUAAGCCACGAAAACAAAAAGGUCUUGAGUUCGCGAUAAGCACGAUGACAGGCGAGCUCUUACCUUUAUCACUGGAUGCGACGAUGAAUCCAAGCGCGCAUCAUUUGGCCAGUUGACAGCUGCUACCAGACUUCGCCACCCAUCUACGGGUUAGAGUUCAUAACCUCUUCUAACCUUUACUUUACCUUUCCAUUGCCCCCUACCCCCCUGGCUGACCGCCCAGCCCCACCGUUCCCACCGUUCACCUUCUUGCCCACUCGACAUUGCAUCUACGAGCAUGAAGUAACCUAAUGUAUAUAGAUUAACCACGUCGAGCGAGUCGUUCGAUUUCGACUGUGGCGCCAACUUGAAUGGACGAUCGAGGAACUAAACUGUUUAAACUGUACUUGAUUUCACAUAGAAAUAUAAAAAGCAUACAAGAAUGAAAAAA